rnacentral:rRNA from 1 species
CCUGAAAUGAGAAGUCUGACGGAGCACGCCGCGUGAGUGAUGAAGGUUUUCGGAUCGUAAAGCUCUGUUGUUAGGGAAGAACAAGUGCCGUUCAAAUAGGGCGGCACCUUGACGGUACCUAACCAGAAAGCCACGGCUAACUACGUGCCAGCAGCCGCGGUAAUACGUAGGUGGCAAGCGUUGUCCGGAAUUAUUGGGCGUAAAGGGCUCGCAGGCGGUUUCUUAAGUCUGAUGUGAAAGCCCCCGGCUCAACCGGGGAGGGUCAUUGGAAACUGGGGAACUUGAGUGCAGAAGAGGAGAGUGGAAUUCCACGUGUAGCGGUGAAAUGCGUAGAGAUGUGGAGGAACACCAGUGGCGAAGGCGACUCUCUGGUCUGUAACUGACGCUGAGGAGCGAAAGCGUGGGGAGCGAACAGGAUUAGAUACCCUGGUAGUCCACGCCGUAAACGAUGAGUGCUAAGUGUUAGGGGGUUUCCGCCCCUUAGUGCUGCAGCUAACGCAUUAAGCACUCCGCC